UCCAGACUCCUACGGGAGGCAGCAGUGGGGAAUAUUGCACAAUGGGGGAAACCCUGAUGCAGCGACGCCGCGUGAGUGAAGAAGUAUUUCGGUAUGUAAAGCUCUAUCAGCAGGGAAGAUAAUGACGGUACCUGACUAAGAAGCCCCGGCUAACUACGUGCCAGCAGCCGCGGUAAUACGUAGGGGGCAAGCGUUAUCCGGAUUUACUGGGUGUAAAGGGUGCGCAGGUGGCAGGGCAAGUCAGAUGUGAAAGCCCGGGGCUCAACCCCGGUAUUGCAUUUGAAACUGUCCGGCUAGAGUGCAGGAGAGGUAAGCGGAAUUCCUAGUGUAGCGGUGAAAUGCGUAGAUAUUAGGAGGAACACCAGUGGCGAAGGCGGCUUGCUGGACUGUAAAUGACGCUGAGGCUCGAAAGCGUGGGGAGCAAACAGGAUUAGAUACCCGAGUA
rnacentral:rRNA from 1 species